UUGAGGGUGUUGCAUGUGACA
rnacentral:misc_RNA from 1 species